UCCAACUACCACAUCACCAUGAACACGCCCGAUCUCGUCUGAUUUCGGAAGCGAAGCAUGGUCGGGCUUGGAUGGGAGACCGCCUGGGAAUACCAGGUGUUGUAA
rnacentral:rRNA from 10 species